rnacentral:lncRNA from 1 species
GAAGUAGGGUGUGUUUACUCAAAAAUCGAACCUACAUUUUAAUCAAGAAGCUUUGCAUUUUCAGGGAGAAGUGCAGCUACCAACACUUGAAAUGUUUAAAAGAAGGCCGUGAUUCAGCAUGCUCCUGCUCAUGGACUUGAUGCACGUUUUGCUGGUUGCUGACUGCUGAGGGCCUUCAAACUCCUCUCUCUUGCUAAUGGGAAAAGAUAAUGGAAGCCAUAUGGACAGAUUCAGAGGGAGAGGAUAAGGGGACCAGGAGAAGCCCACAGAGAUCUUUCCUAAAGGAUGAGUGAGAUGAAACUGAAGGAAUUAACACCCACUGCCUUCUCCCUUCUGUGGACAGUGAAUACACAGACUUUUAAAAAAAAAGAAGAAAAAAGUGUUUUGCUUGAAGCGAUGGUGCCUCCAAAUGCCCCGAUGAAGUCAGUUUUCCAGCUUAAAGCAUCAGGUUUGGAGAAACUGAAGCAGCUCCAGAAACUGUUGAACAGCAAAAGGUCUGGCUGUGAGAAUCCGCUGUGUCGGUGCGCGAGAGUUCAUUCUUCUGGUUUGCAAGACAAAUGCUGGGUCUGAAGGGAAUCAUUACAUACAGCCAAACAGGAGAAAAGUGAAAGCUGUAUCUGCCCCAGUUUACAUGUAUGAGAACUGACCAUGUAAGCACCUGCUUGAGAUGCCCCUCAAAUGCAGUGGGAAAGUUUUUAUGUUUGCGUACAUCUUUCUUUAGAAUACAAUCUGUCUGCGUACAUCUAACAACCAUUUAGGCCAGCACAGAUCAUUAAUGUUUCAUACCUCUUCUCUGUCACAACAGUGGAAUUGAAUUUGAUUGCAGUGAAGAGUAGCUCAACUAUUCAGAUGCACAGCUAUGCUUUUUACUCUCCAUUCCAUGAAUCUCCAUGGAAGUUCUUUUGGUAAUGCUGCAGUGGCUUGUUUUCCUGCAUGCUCUGAUAAAUCUGGUUUUGAGCUCCCUGGGCCACCUUCUCUAAAUUAGUCGCUUGUAUCAGGAGAUGGUCAACAUCCCGUAGUUCUCUGCCUGGAAAGAGUCGAGGGACACAUGACAGGGAGUCCAUUGUUGCCUUACCAGUGACCACAGCAUCCUCUAGGCUUAAACUUUGGUGCUAAUAAGCAAGGCAGAGCAGAGCUAUUGCCCUGUCUUCCUUGGCUCCUAAGAGAACAGCUUUUUAGGAAGUUGUCAGAGUUUUAGAGGAGUUGAGAACUGGAAAAUAUCCAUGUUUAUGUUGUAUGUUGAAUAGGAGGCCCUUUCCUUACAGUGCAGAAGAUAUUGACAAAACACCCUUCCCCUUUGUUGUCUCUUCUCCAUACUCCUGUCAAUCGAUAGGGCUCUUUAACAGGAAGCCGCCUACUCGCAGUCACACAGCGUGCUUCUAGAUGGGUUUGAUGUCAGGUAAUCAUUGCUGUACAUAGUAAUAAAUGAUGUGUUUACAUAACA